rnacentral:tRNA from 1 species
GCGGAGGUUGCCAAGCCAGGUCAAAGGCGUAGGUCUGUAUCUCCUAUUUCGUAGGAAUUCGCGGGUUCAAAUCCCGUCCUCCGCA